UAAGACUUGAGAAAAUAAUUAAGUUGGUGGUUAUAUGCAAAGAACAAAAAUAAACAUGCAGAUGCAGUUGAUUCAAUUGGUAUUAAGAAACUAUGGAUGAAUGAUGUUGUUGGGGUUUACAAUUUCAUCUUAUCCACUCUCAUAUAUAUACUCUUCUUAUUUACUUCACUUAUUUAUCUAAUUGCCAUCCACACUUUCUAGUUUAUCCUUAACCCAAUCCCUUGGUGAAGAGAGCCUAUUAUUAAUUACCGGCUUGCUAUCCCUAGCCUCCCCUAGUA
rnacentral:lncRNA from 1 species